UUCAAUUCUAAGCACAGGAGUCCUGGCAACUGACUUUCCACAUUUACCUAUAGGUUAAGCAUCUUGGCAAACUGCUAGCCCAUUGAUUCUAAGAUCAUAGUUCAGCCACUUGAACUUCUGAACAAAUUUAAUUCUUAACAUUGAGUGUUAAAUAGCCAGACUGUUUAGUUGCUAAGUCAUGUCUGGCUCUUUUAGGACCCCAUGGACUGUAGCCUGCCAGACGCCUCUGUCCACAUUUUCCAGGGAAGAUUACUGGAGUGUGUUACCAUUGCCUUCUCCAGGGGACCUUACUGACCUCUAGGACUAAACUCAAGUCUUUUAUGUCUCCUGCAUUAGCAGUUGGGUUCUUUACCUGAGCCACCUGGGAAGCCACAUCAGAUACAAACUGCCACUGUAGGCAGAUUCUUUAUUCCUGAGCACCAGGGAAGCCCUAAAUUAACACCAUUUAGGCACUUGUUUCGGAGAAGGCAAUGGCAGCCCACUCCAGUACUCUCACCUGGAAAAUCCCAUGGAUGGAGGAGCCUGGUAGGCAGGCUACCAGGACAGUACUGAAGUGACUUAGCAGCAUGCCCUUGUUUAACACUCUGCCAAUCUGUGUGGAGCUUGUCAGAAAGCUAAAUCCCCUUUUUAACUCCCCCUUUUUUAAAAAUAACUGGGUAUUUUAUGUCCCAGGUGCUACUAGCCAAAACUUGGGGAAAAUAUGUUGAGACCACAGCAGCCAUCCCUAAAACAUUAGAGAUGCUCCACCCCAGCUGCAAAGGGAUGGAGGAUCACACAGGAGGGGACAUCUGGCAAAGUUUGGAGACACAUUUGGUUGUCACAACUGGGGAAGGCAAUGGAGCACCUUCAGCCUUUUGUGGAUAAUGCCAGGGGUCUUGGCAAACAUUCUAAACUAUGUACAGCGCUUUACAAUGUGAAUAGUGUGGAAGCUGAGAGACUGAAACCUAGAGGAAGGGUGAUGGAAAAAAACAAUCAAGAACACGUCUAAUUCUGUUCAUAUUAUCUCUGAAUCUCUGUGUAUUCAUACAAAGCAUUGGUGUAGGGAUCGCUUCGGAGUUCUUUAAAUCCAGCACCCCAUUAAAAGGUAUUUUAAAUGUUUCUUUUUAGCAACUAUGAAUAUUACAAUUUCUCAAAAUAUUUUCAGUAUCUUUUAAAAAUGUGCAGU
ensembl:lncRNA